rnacentral:rRNA from 1 species
AUGGGAGGCGGAGCUCCGCUCCACCAUGCUCAAAGGCAAGAGCCCGGCUGCCGAGGCCGAACCAACCAGGCGCGACGAGCACUCCCAGGAUUGGUCGCCCUACCAUCAGCGUGGUCGCGGCCGCGAUCGGGAUUGCCGUUCCUCGCCCCGCCUUUCUCGGUCGCCGGCCCGGUCUGGUCGCACCGAGCAAUCCCCACCUUGGUGUUACAAUCCACCAUAGCGACAUGCUCAAUUUCCCGCACCGGCCCCCAACAACCGCAAUACCAGGGAAGCAUUUGCAGAAGAAGAAAGCCGGCCAGCGCCCCGGCGGUGCGGCUGGGCAAGCAUCCUCGGUCACCAACCCCCACCAGCACCCACAACCGUGGCUGCUGCUCCUCCGGGGGCUACGCCCGUGGUGUGUUUCAACUGUGGCGAGGAGGGGCAUUGCCAAGUGGAGUGCAAGCAACCCCCGACGUGCUUCAAAUGCAAGAGGAUGGACCAUCCGACAUUGCUUUGCCCAGACCAGUCGACGGAGGGGAGCUCAUGCUCUUUGGCUAUGCCCUGGAUGAUUUGGGCUUCCUCCAGAUGGACUUGUCGGAGCCGGCGGCUACACCCUCCCUGACCGCCCUCGUCUCGGUCUUGGGGGGUAAGACGGCCUCUCCGGCGAUCAUCAUGGACGAGCUUCGACACCUCUUCCGUCCGGAUUGGGAUUGGGAGGUGACUCCGAUCUCCGAUCACGAUUUCACGGCAGUGUACCCGGACCUGGUUAGCCUCCGCUACCACACUCACAGUGCGGAGCUCACCUUGGCGCUCAACAAGAAUACUGUCAAUAUCUCGGUGCCCGAGGUCGAUACCUUGGCGGUUGCGACCCUCUCGACGGUGUGGAUCCAAAUCCGCGGGCUCCCUCCGAUUGCCAAGGAGUGUGUCAUUCAUAACAUGUCGAGACUCCUUGGCAAGAUUGUCGAGGUGGAUGGUCCCUCCCUCGUCCGGGUGCCGGCGGUGCGCGCCAAGGUCAAGACCCCGGACCCUGCAAAGCUACAUACUACGAUAGGGAUGUUCUUCAACGACAUCGGCUACGACCUUCACAUCUCGGUCGAGGGGGAGAACCGUGCUGCCCCUCUUGGCUCGGAUGGUGGUAAAGACCCGGACGGAGAUAAGGGGCGUGGGGAUGGUGGUGGGGGUGGUGCCGGCCAUUGCCACUCCCCCAUCACCGAAGUCGCAGCCACUCCCCGAGCUUGGAGGAUGAUGACGAGGAGUCGCCGAGGAUAG